rnacentral:rRNA from 1 species
GAUGAACGCUGGCGGCGUGCCUAAUACAUGCAAGUCGAGCGAACAGACGAGGAGCUUGCUCCUCUGACGUUAGCGGCGGACGGGUGAGUAACACGUGGAUAACCUACCUAUAAGACUGGGAUAACUUCGGGAAACCGGAGCUAAUACCGGAUAAUAUAUUGAACCGCAUGGUUCAAUAGUGAAAGACGGUUUUGCUGUCACUUAUAGAUGGAUCCGCGCCGCAUUAGCUAGUUGGUAAGGUAACGGCUUACCAAGGCAACGAUGCGUAGCCGACCUGAGAGGGUGAUCGGCCACACUGGAACUGAGACACGGUCCAGGCUCCUACGGGAGGCAGCAGUAGGGAAUCUUCCGCAAUGGGCGAAAGCCUGACGGAGCAACGCCGCGUGAGUGAUGAAGGUCUUCGGAUCGUAAAACUCUGUUAUUAGGUAAGAACAAAUGUGUAAGUAACUAUGCACGUCUUGACGGUACCUAAUCAGAAAGCCACGGCUAACUACGUG